rnacentral:rRNA from 1 species
CGAUGAAGCUGGAGCUUGCUCCGGUGGAUUAGUGGCGAACGGGUGAGUAACACGUGAGCAAUCUGCCCUUGACUCUGGGAUAACUGCGGGAAACUGUAGCUAAUACCGGAUACUUUCCUCGGUGGGCAUCCACUGGGGAAGAAAGAAUUUCGGUCAAGGAUGAGCUCGCGACCUAUCAGCUAGUUGGUGAGGUAAUGGCUCACCAAGGCGACGACGGGUAGCCGGCCUGAGAGGGUGACCGGCCACACUGGGACUGAGACACGGCCCAGACUCCUACGGGAGGCAGCAGUGGGGAAUAUUGCACAAUGGGCGCAAGCCUGAUGCAGCAACGCCGCGUGAGGGACGAAGGCCUUCGGGUUGUAAACCUCUUUUAGCAGGGAAGAAGCGAAAGUGACGGUACCUGCAGAAAAAGCACCGGCUAACUACGUGCCAGCAGCCGCGGUAAUACGUAGGGUGCAAGCGUUGUCCGGAAUUAUUGGGCGUAAAGAGCUCGUAGGCGGUUUGUCACGUCUGCUGUGAAAUUUCGAGGCUCAACCUCGAACUUGCAGUGGGUACGGGCAGGCUAGAGUGCGGUAGGGGAGAUGGGAAUUCCUGGUGUAGCGGUGGAAUGCGCAGAUAUCAGGAGGAACACCAAUGGCGAAGGCACAUCUCUGGGCCGUAACUGACGCUGAGGAGCGAAAGCAUGGGGAGCAAACAGGAUUAGAUACCCUGGUAGUCCAUGCCGUAAACGGUGGGUGCUAGCUGUGGGCCACAUUCCACGUGGUCCGUGACGAAGUUAACACAUUAAGCACCC